rnacentral:lncRNA from 7 species
UGCCAAGCCAUCUCGCUGCCGUUGAUAGAGAGGGAGGGAGCAGACGAGGGCCAAGAGAGAGAUUUCGCCGCCGCUGGCAUUCCACGCCUACGCAGUGGCGCGGAAGCCAAGGAGGAGGUAAGGAUGUGCGUCAGGGAUUGUAGAACGUGUACGAAGAGGUUUCGAGGCGCAAGAGAUGGUGCUUGAUCGACGAUGUCUCGCCGGAGUCGGGAAAACACCGGGGAGCUACCCUUCGAUGAGGACAGGACCCCUGCGUCGCCAAUUUCAGUGAGAGCCCUCCACACUGAUUCUCCUUCGUCCAUACGUCAUGUAGUGUAUGUCAUGGUGGGAAAUCGCAGGCCAUAUCGAGGGAUGGCCCUACGAUGACGAAGGUUCGUCGAGGACAGGGCGGUGGCGCCACACUCCACCGUUGAGGGAAGAAGAUGGGGAUCUGGUCAUUGAUCUAUGUCUCGACGAGUAAGAUUAGAUUAGGCAAAACGGUUUAGCUGGGUGAGUCUGGGCAGUCAGAUCGGGAACGAACGAUCUAGAAUCACACGCUUAUGUCGGCUGAGGUUCUCGAAUCCGACGCUUUGCGUCGCAUAACGGUUCACUGGGAGACAAGAUAUGAUCUGGGCCCUUGAUUCAAUAACAGAUGGCCCAAGGUAAGCGAGCUUGAGUCAACCGUGGUAAGUUUGCUAAGAGAUCCUGCAUACUUGAGUAAUCAACCUGCAGUACGUCAUAGGUUUAGGUUUAAAACAUUACAGUUCGUUUGUUUUUUGUUCACAUCAGCAAUGAUCUUUAGAAUUAAUCACCGCUACCCAGGAA